rnacentral:lncRNA from 1 species
GAUACUUAAUAGCAUUAAGAGAGAGAGAGGAAAGGCAUGCUUCCUCCAUAGUUGUUAGAACACAGAACGAAAAUAACAAAAAAAAAGAAUGCAGAUUUGAAAUUCAGGUUAACUGGGUUUCAGUCCUGGCUACCUUAAUAUCUGUUACCUGGGCUAUAGAUUAAUAGCCUGAAAUUAUAUGCAGAAAUAUUAGUAUAUUCUUGUAUUUUCUACGGGAGAGGGGCCACAGCUAUGUCAAAUCCUUAAGAGCCUACUACCCAGAAAGUGUUAAGAACUAUUAUUAUACAAAUUAAUUCAUCUUUGCUUUGGUUUUCUCAUCAUUAUAAUGGGAAUACCAACAUUUAUCCAACCUCAAUCAUUGUGAAAAUUUAAAAAACAUCCUGAGGAAAAAAAGUAUUUUUUAGAGUUAAUGUUAUUUUUCCCUAACAACAUACACAAAAAUAAACUCCAAAUGGAUUAAAGGUCUAGAUAUAAGACCAGACACUAUCAAACUCCUAGAGGAAAAUGUAGGCCAAACACUCUCUGACAUAAACGACAGCAACAUCUUCUCAGAUCCACCUGUCAGAGUAUUGACAAUAAAACGAAAGAUAAACAAAUGGGAUCUAGAAGUUUUCCAUAAAUUUAUCAAAACACUGUUCAUAACUGUUGCUUUUUCUUGAACCCAUUUAUGAAAUUCUUUGGAAUAACAUCAGUAAAGAAGGAAAUAUCUUCAUAUGUGAGUAUAUUUGCUGUUCUAAAGUGUCAUUAUUAAAAGUUAAUAAGUCUACUGCCCAUUCAAUGGUCAUAGAACAAUUUAUAGGAACCUCUUAUUUAGAUAAUAUAUAUCAGCAUAUGCUAUUUACACAGAAUGUGACAAAUGAAAGCCAAGAAAUAAAAUCAUUUUAAUGAUACCACUGUGUAAAACAAUGCAGCUAGUUAGUCUGACCAAAAGUCAUGGUCAAAGGUGAUUCUCAGAGUCCUUCAGGCACCACUGAACACUAUUGACGUGUUCAAAAUCUGAUGAGCAAGGCUGUGCUUUUAGUUGCUAUGAUUUAUUAACCAUUGAUGAGGGACAUAUUUGACAAAACCCGUCAUUAAUAGAUUUUUGUUUUCCUUUCUGAGACAAAAUUUGCUGUAAACAUCUCAUUAAUAGGAAUAGAGCAAGGGAGGAUAAUUAGUUUGUAUCAUCAAUCAAGUUUUCAACUUCUAUACCCCAGUCAAGGCUCUCAACCCUCUUUCAGUAUUUAAUGUACAGGAAAGCAAAAGGAACUCAGUGUUUGUGAAACUUCACAAGUACCAGCUGUAAAUCAACUUAACUUGGAACAAACCAACUCUGAGAACUUGCCAUGGGCAUGAGUAAAUUUUUGUGCAAAUCCUGUGGUAAUUGACUGGAAAGAUACCAUCUCUACAAAAUUUCUAAUUACGAUCCUAUGAAAACAUUAAUACAAAAUAAGAAACCAUUUUAGAAAAGAGUAAGCUUUAUAUCUAAUAUGAAAUUGACACAGUACAGAGCAGCUAAUUCAUUCUGUGAAUGAUGGCUAUAUCAUUUGUUUUUAAUUUGACACAGGUACUGGCCUACUACAGUUAUACAGCAAAUGAGGAUUCUAAAGAUUAAAAACAGCAGAGAUGAGAGAGCAGAAGUGGAAGAAACACCUCACACAAGAAAUAUGCCUUAGCUGCACACAAGAGAUCUCAGCUUAGAAAAAUAAAAUUAUAGGAGACAGAGCAAGAGGUUGUGGAACUCACCUCCCCUGACAGACAUAUCUACAUGUGUAACAAUUCCCACUUAAAAAUAAUUGGAAAACAGCAGAAGGACUUCAGUACAAUCAAGGAUGAAAGAAAGAGUCACACUUAAUCAGGGAGGAAGAGAAGAAAGUGAUCGGUUUGGAAUCUGUGCCCCUGGGAGGGGACUCAGAGGAACAGGGGAGUCACAUGGGUAGAAAUGUAAUCUAUUUGAAUAGCAAGAGCCACAGAAUGGGUGUCCCAGGCCUGGGGUCUGAUGCAGGGGACACGGGCCCCCUGACUGGACCUGGGGUUGCCACAAUCAGAGAGAAGACUUGACUGUGGGAUGCAGAGGUGUGCCAGCGCCUGAGUAGAGCCUGGGUUGGCAGUAGCAGCCAUUGUUGACACUUAAUUAAUGUAUCAGAAGCAGCCCAGAGCUCUGAUGAUGGCUGCUCCACUAUGGCUCAUCUUCCAACACAUGCCAGUAUCCUUCAAGGCUGACCUGCCUGCCUUGUGGUAUGGCUCCACAGCAAGGCAGGGGCAGCAGAGACUUGGGACACUGAUUGGCUGGGAGGGGGAAAAGGGAGACUUGCACCUAAGGCUAAGUCUGAGUGGAGCAAGAGAAACAAUUGUGGCCACCUGCACAGGUAGCACAUUGGAGAUAGCUCAGGUUUCUGUCUU